CCACCUCCAAUUUAGUGCACAUGGAAAUUAGUUGGGAAUUCAACUAAUUGGAUGCCACAACCAAUUGCUUUCAAUUGGUCUCCCUACAUUUCUAGUAUAAAAGGGAAGCUAGUGCAUCCCAUUUCAAUCAUCCCUCUCUUCUUCCUUUCUCACUUCUCUAAGUGUUGUAGUGUAGCAAUUUUCACUUGUUUAAUAAUUGAGAUAAGUUAUCUCAAUUGGGUAGAUAGGUGAGCGCGAGAAUAUUCGUAUAUUUCAUUAUUAAUAUUACCACAAUAAAAUGGACUAAGGAGGUUGGCUUAAGUAUCGUCAUUAUGGUAUUGCGGUGGUAAUCACCCAUCUAUAGUGAUUUUAAGUGUGGCGGACUACCGCCACUUCCAACUUACCUGGGAAAUAUUUACGGUGUGUGGUUUAUUAGUGCAAUAUAUUUACUCUAUUCUCGUCCGCUGCGCCCCAACAAUCUCAUACAGUGAACCUAUGGAUGUUAGUUAAUUAUUGUCCACGAUUAACAACUAACAAGAUCUCCGUUGAUUUUUCUUAAGCCGAUGUGUUUUCCAUCGAGUGCCCAAUCAUUCUUAUAAAAUAAAAUAACUGCCAUAUGGAUCUGAUAUAUUAGUACGUAAAUGACUAAAUGGAAACAAUAACAUAUUAAAUAUUGAAAAGCAUACAGACGAUCACGAGUCAUAUAAACUAAUUUAAAGUGGCUCAAUUAAAUUCUUCACAAGCCACCGGAACGGACGACGACAACGUUUGAUUGACGAAUCAUCUGGAGUUGGCGUGGGCAGCAUCGUAUUAAACAUUUCCUCUGGUUUGUAGCCAACGACGAACUGGUGACAAACUUGAAGAGGUGGCGGCGUUCAGGUAUAACUUGGAGAGUUGCUCAAUAACCCGAGUCGAGUUUAGAGGUGUUGUAACAUGUUUGUACGAGUUAGAGUCUGGGUUUAUGAUCUAAUGUUUGGCGGUUAAUAUUUAAUGUUCAGGUGUAACAUUAUUCAAUAGUUUUUAGAAUUAAAUGUAGAGUGUUUAAAAUUUAUUGUUUGGAUUUUAUAUUUUUAAAUUGGAAAUUUUUAGUAUUGAGUGUACUCAACACCCGCAAGUACCCUAACGCUCCCAUGCAUUUUUUUUGGUAGAAACAAAAUAAGAGGGAACUACACUACAAGAACUUGUCGAUCUUCAGAGCAUCCCAACCUGUCGUACAUAAGACAAGUCUGCAAAGUAUUAGUGGUCGAGGAGAUACAAUGACUUCCCACUACCAAAGAAUGACCAAG
rnacentral:lncRNA from 1 species